ACGGCUGGCCUUCGCAAGUCAUACAAUAAUGAACAGAACGAACAGGGGUUCGCAUUCGUCUCCUGCUAUGCUUGAUACUAAAUCUUUUGAGCAAGCAGUGGUGUCGGCGCGGUGUCGCGGCCGGGCAGAACAUUGCAUCCCAUGCCCUAAACUCUGGGUAGCAUUCGACGGAGAUUGCUACCGACUGGUCACUGAAAAGUUGCCCUGGGUUGAAGCUGAAAAGUACUGUCGGGAAUUGUCCAACUCUGAUUGGUUUCCAUCGCACCUUGUGUCCAUCAACAGCUUAGAAGAACAGCAAUUUAUAGUGGAGCUUUUGAAAGCUUCUUAUCCAUUGGAAAAAUUGCCUUCUGUAAAGGCCUGGCUCGGAUACAACGAUAUGGAGAGGGAGACGCGCUUCGUGUGGAGUGCCAGCUCUGGUGCCAACUUCACGCGAUGGGCAAGAAAUCAGCCUGACAACGGAGAAGGGAAAGGCCAAGACUGUGUUGCUAUAAUACAAAAAAACAACUGGAAAUGGGAUGAUAUGACCUGCAGGUUCGGUCGUCAUUUCAUUUGUGAACUAAAAAUGUUGAAUGGUCGUCAGUAGGAAGAUCGUUUCUUGUAUCUGCGUUUGCCCUUUUGACAUGUGGCGAUCGAAAUAGGAGGCAGCAAAUCUUGGAGUGGGCCAAUUUGGGUAAAUUACAAAAACGUUCAUUGACAACAAAUAACACCCUCCUAUGUGUCCACCAUAUCUCAAAAAGGCUAAUGGAAUUAAAAGCAGAGUGAGUAUGGCUCCAUCGCUUAAAAAUAUAGCCGGCGUUAUGUUUAUGUGUGUCAACGUUUGAAAGUUGCAACUAAAACGGUAAAAUUAGCUCACGAUUGGUUAUUAUUUUUAAGGGGUUUUAAGGGUGUCUCGGAUAGCGAAAUAUUACUGCCAUAUAUCACUAAUCAGUCUGCACUCUUAAAAGUCCUGGGUCAGAUUCAACUCAGAAUCCGAGUCAAAUUUGACCUGGCACUCUUCUGGAUCAAAAUCAGAAGUGUUUGUGUACAAAGACUCUUUUCUAGGGCCAUUUAACUAACAAGUUUUCGUGACCUAUUUUUCCGGACUAAAUGAUCCUGACAAGUGACUCAGAGAAGUGUCAGUCUGACCCAGAAGUGAGUCAGGUCAUAUCGGACCCGGAUUCUAGGUCGAAUCUGACCUGGACAUUUAAGAGUGUGUUAAUAAGAGCCAGAUUGUGUUCACUGUCAGAUUCAAUUAGUUUCAAAAGCGGCUGGCUAAGGUGCUUAUGCGCAGGAAUAUUGUUAGGGGCAAUGUACAUACUGACAUCAAACGACUCAAACACUGCAGCGAGAUUUGUAACUAACACCUUAUAAAAUAACAGGUAAAUAAUUAACAUUGGUCCGACAAAAAGGGCUUCUUGUGCCCUUUGUGUUGUAUUUGCAUCUGUUUUGUUUUUCUUUUCACGAUGUGCUUUGUCAAACAUUGAGAUAUUAAAACAGGUUUUAUCCAAUUAAAGGGACAUUUUAAUAAGCAAUGUUUGCUUUUUAGUAUAGCUAAUAAGAUGAUUGUGAUUUUCUCAGUUAUCAUAUUGUCUGUUAUGUUUAUCGAUGCCAACCUGGAGAAUCGGUCUUAAAAGUGCAUUGGCUUAAAAAUUGAAUAUUAAAAAGAAAUAGUAUAGAUAUAUAAUGUUUUGAAUUUUACCCAUUUUAAGGGAAAUUUUACGUGAUUGUCAUUUCAAUGUAUAGUUGUAUUGUUAUCUGUAAGAAAAUGCAAAAAUAAUUAAAUCUAUUACGUUGAAAGCAUUGAUUGAGAAGAUUUUACAUAUUCAAUUAGUUUGAAACGACAGUGCGAAGUUAGAGAAUGUUUCAAUUCUUUUUAUGCCUGUAACCAAUAAAUAUUCUAAAAUGAGUUAAUUCAAUAUUUUUCAAACAAAUAUACAUAGCGGCCACACAGAUUAGGUCACUUUGCAAACUUAUGUGAAAUAUUGUACAGUUUGUAAAAGUGCAUUGUUCUAUCUGUUGCAUUGUGAAGAUCUAAAACAUUCUUGCACCAAUUAUUUUGCAAAAUUUUUACAGUUGAAAAAAGAAAUUGACUGGAACUUGGUUUGAACCUGCAACCUCCGGAUUGCUGUUCCGUUGCUCUACCAACUGAGCUAUCCAGCCCUGUGUUGGCGGUUCCCCCCUUUGUCAAUGUCUUUGUUCAUAGGGCGCUAGUAAGAAGUCAUAAACCCACAUGGGUAUUACUUUAGCCGUCCGUUUACUUUUCAAUGCAUUACUGAGUGAAAUAUUUUGAAAAAAAGAAAUACAUAGCUGUCACAGUGUGAACUUUGAAAUGUAUUUCCUAUUAAAGGUGAGGGUGUAGUUUAAAGAAAGUUUACCCAUUUUGAGGGACAUUUAUUAUAUUUGACAUUUUCGGUGUUUAUCAUAAUUUCAAGUUUGAAAGUUGAAAUGUAUUGUGUAUUCAAGGAGACGGCGUAGUUUAAAGAAAUUUUACCCAUUUUAAGGGACAUUUAUUAUAUUUGACAUGUUCGGUGUUUAUCAUAAUUUCAAGAUUAAAAGGUGAAAUGUGCUGUGUAUUCAAGAAAAAGGCGUAGUUUAAAGACUUUUGACCCAUUUUAAGGGACAUUUAUUAUAUUAGACAUGUUCAAUGUUUAUCGUAAUUUCAAGAUUGAAAGUUGAAAUGUAUUGUGUAUUCAAUGAGACGGCGUAGUUUAAGACAUUUUACCCAUUUUAAGGGACAUUAAUUAUAUUUGAUAUUUUCAGUGUAUUUCGUAAUUUCAAGUGACGGUUAACAUGUGCACAAUAGAUAGUGAAAUUUUAAACAAAUUGCGUCAGCACACAAGUGACAUUUCUUUUUUUAAUCCUCUAAUUAUAGUUAGCGCAGUUUGUUAAGAUUUUACUAAAAUGCAGUGAAUUUCUUUCUGAGAGACGAUUCAUGUAUAUCAUAACAAUUUCAAUUCAGCAAAGUUUCAAAUCUUAAUCAUUUGGCAAAGACAUGGAUUGAAAUUUAUCGAAGUUAAAAGACAUUUGAUUAGUUUUCAGAGAAAUUCACUUCACUUACCAUGAGAACGAAUGAUUAGUGGCUAUACCAUAAUUUUAAAGUUACUAAAUACACAUAAUUAUGUUUCUUUUUCAAAUUGUUAUCACCUGUCCUGCCCGAUAAAUAGAUCUCCCACACAGCGGCAUAUUGGAGGGCAGUGCGUGUGUUCUGUCAAGGUAUGAGCAUACCAGUAUAACAAAUCAGCCCUCCAACAUAGCUGCCAUGCAUACGGCAUAUUUUACCAGGCGUCAAUUUUGAGUGCAUUCCUAAUCGCCCAGCAGUAAAGUUAAGGUACUUUCAACAACAACAACAACAAAUUAUGAUAGUGAUUGCUACCUUUUCAUCAGUUUUAACGUUCUUUUUAGUAAAAAAUAACACUGAUAGUUUAAAUUUUGAAGACUGUUUUUAUUUUACCUUUAUAAUUAUAAUGGUAUACAAGUUUUCCCACUUACUUUAACACUUGUAAAAUUUAAAUUCCGUGGAAGGAGUCUUUAAGUUCGUUCCUGAACGAAGUUCUCAAAAUCGGAAUUAUCAAUGGACCCCAACGACGAUCUGAACGAAAUUAGAGUCUCUUUUCAUGUAAUUCAAUGAUACAAGUGUUUAAGUAAGUAGGCAAACCUAUGGCAACAAAAGUUUGAAUGUUAACCCGUUAUUGCAGAUCGGUGUAUGUAAAAUGUUCUGUUGUUCGAAAUAUUAUAUUGUUGAAGUUUA